UCCCUGGUGGCACAACUGUUAAGCGUUUGUCUGCGAAACAAAAGGUCGGUGGUUCAAACCCACUGCAGGAGG
rnacentral:tRNA from 1 species